GCUCCGCCCCCCCGCCCCGCCGUGGGGGGCUCCGCCCUCCCCGGCCCGACCCCCCGACGACCCCGGGGGUCUCCACCCCCCGCGGCUCCACCCCAGGUAAGUUUUUUGGGGGGGGUGUGUCUCCAACCCCCAAACCCGACCUCGGCCUUCGGGGUCGACGCCGACCUCAAGCCGGCGGCGUCUCCGUAGGCUCCGCCCACUCGCCCCGUCCCGCGGGGCUCCGCCCACCCCGGGUCGACCUCCCGACGACCUCGGGGGUCUCCACCUCCCGGGCCGUGACCCCAGCCUCCUCCCGCAAGCCCCGCCCCCCGACCGUCGACGUCUUCCACACGUGCGACGCCGCGCCGGCGGUGGAGCUCCUCUGCCUGGUCGCCGCCUUCGCCCCGCCCCCCGUCGAGGUCACCUGGCUGGCCGACGGCCACGCCCUGGCGCCGGCCCCGCCCGUUGAGCCGCCCGCCCCCGACGCGGCGCCGGGGACCUUCCGGCUGCUCUCGCGGGUCAACGUCUCGCUGGAGGAUUGGCAAGAGCGCAGCUUCUCGUGCCGCGUCGCCCACCCGGCCUCCGGCGCCGUCCAGGAGGUCGCCGCCCACAAGUGCGCCGGUCUCCAAGACCUUGGGUUGACCCAACCUUGA